rnacentral:rRNA from 1 species
UACGGAGGAUGCGAGCGUUAUCCGGAUUUAUUGGGUUUAAAGGGUGCGUAGGCGGGCUUUUAAGUCAGCGGUAAAAAUUCGGGGCUCAACCCCGUCCGGCCGUUGAAACUGAGGGCCUUGAGUGGGCGAGAAGAAGGCGGAAUGCGUGGUGUAGCGGUGAAAUGCAUAGAUAUCACGCAGAACCCCGAUUGCGAAGGCAGCCUUCCGGCGCCCUACUGACGCUGAGGCACGAAAGUGCGGGGAUCGAACAGG